rnacentral:rRNA from 1 species
GGAUGAGUUGCGAACGGGUGAGUAACGCGUAGGUAACCUGCCUGGUAGCGGGGGAUAACUAUUGGAAACGAUAGCUAAUACCGCAUAAUAGUAGAUGUUGCAUGACAUUUGCUUAAAAGGUGCAAUUGCAUCACUACCAGAUGGACCUGCGUUGUAUUAGCUAGUUGGUGAGGUAACGGCUCACCAAGGCAACGAUACAUAGCCGACCUGAGAGGGUGAUCGGCCACACUGGGACUGAGACACGGCCCAGACUCCUACGGGAGGCAGCAGUAGGGAAUCUUCGGCAAUGGACGGAAGUCUGACCGAGCAACGCCGCGUGAGUGAAGAAGGUUUUCGGAUCGUAAAGCUCUGUUGUAAGAGAAAAACGAGUGUGAGAGUGGAAAGUUCACACUGUGACGGUAUCUUACCAGAAAGGGACGGCUAACUACGUGCCAGCAGCCGCGGUAAUACGUAUGUCCCGAGCGUUGUCCGGAUUUAUUGGGCGUAAAGCGAGCGCAGGCGGUUAGAUAAGUCUGAAGUUAAAGGCUGUGGCUUAACCAUAGUACGCUUUGGAAACUGUUUAACUUGAGUGCAAGAGGGGAGAGUGGAAUUCCAUGUGUAGCGGUGAAAUGCGUAUAUAUAUGGAGGAACACCGGUGGCGAAAGCGGCUCUCUGGCUUGUAACUGACGCUGAGGCUCGAAAGCGUGGGGAGCAAACAGGAUUAUAUACCCUGGUAGUCCACGCCGUAAACGAUGAGUGCUAGGUGUUAGACCCU